CGGGGUCUGCGGGGUCUGCGGGGCGGGAGAAGGUCCCGGCCCUCGAGGGCGUCCAGGGCGUCCCGAUCUCCAAGGUCGCGAAAGUUUUCGUGGUUGCACCUUCAGUUUAAAUAGAUUGAAUGCUCUUCUGCAAGUCAUUUCUCUGGCUAGAAACCAAGGUCUGCUGUGAGAGUUGCUGGAUAAAGGGAGACUUGGAUGAGGAAUUUAACAACAGCAUGACUAGAAGCUGAAAUGAAACUUGGCACCAUUUAUUCCUGUCUAUCAAGGUCCCUCUUGGCCUUAUCAAGGGUCUGGCAACGUGUGUUCCCACACCGUCCUCUAGUGGCUGACCCCAAGGGAGACCUGCUAUCACUCUGCCACUGUGACGAAGACUGUCCUUUCAGUGCAUGGACUUGUGAGCAGAGUUUAUUAUUUUUUAGGAUGAAGAAUUUUCUCCUGGGGUGUUUGCGUUCUCUAACAGUCAAAUUAAAUUUUACAGCAUUGAAUAUACAUCCUAUGACUUAGAAGCAUUCUUAGGGGAAAUCUAAAAAUAAAUUUAAAAAUCCAUGGUUCUGGAAAAAAUCCUAAAAUGUAUAUCCAUCAACCAACAAAGAUUUACCAAAUAUAAAAAAUAUGCCAGGCACCUUUGUAGGUGCUUGAUAUACAUAAGUGAACAAAACAAAGAUUCCUGCCCACAGGGACCAUACAUUCUAGCAUGAGGACAACAGUUAAGAACAUGGUUCCUUUUGGAUUGACAUUCAGAACAGACUGCUUGUAAAUGUGAUGUGUUUCAAAAAUUGUACUACCGGGAACUGUAUUCUUAACAUUCAGUAAUGUAACUGAUGUUUGCCUUAUCUUCUCUAACCUGCCUUCAGAGCAAGUUGGAAGUGACUGGCACCAUGUCACCGGUACAGGGUACCAUAGGCAUUACUAGCCUCCCAUGUGCUAAUGUUGCUCACUCCAGAGUGACCAUUCUGGAAAGCUAUUUCUUGUCUUCCUAAAUUGUGUGCCAAAUGCAAGAAGUGUCUUUAAGUCCUCUUUCCACUCCCCUUCUCCCAAUUCUCCUCCCUACACCAGCACUAACUUCACUAAAGUCUUUCUGAGCAGUUUUUGCCUGAGGCUAUGCUCCAGUUCUGCAAAAACAGGACUGGUUACUGGGAGGCCUCUAAUUAGGGGAGAAAAAUGGGUAAAUAAGGCAUCAGUUACUCUUAUCGUAUUGCUUUACUGGAAAGGUGAAAUUUUAAGGUAGUUUAAUUAAUCACUUUUCCAUUUUCUGUUUUUUAAAAAGAAUGUAGUUCAUCCAUAUUGAUGUUACAAUAAAUUAAACUAUUGUAUCUCCA